rnacentral:rRNA from 1 species
UACGGAGGAUCCGAGCGUUAUCCGGAUUUAUUGGGUUUAAAGGGAGCGUAGGUGGAUUGUUAAGUCAGUUGUGAAAGUUUGCGGCUCAACCGUAAAAUUGCAGUUGAAACUAGCAGUCUUGAGUACAGUAGAGGUGGGCGGAAUUCGUGGUGUAGCGGUGAAAUGCUUAGAUAUCACGAAGAACUCCGAUUGCGAAGGCAGCUCACUGGACUGCAACUGACACUGAGGCUCGAAAGUGUGGGCAUCAAACAGG